rnacentral:rRNA from 1 species
GCUCGAGUGGCGAACGGGUGAGUAACACGUGAGUAACCUGCCCUUGACUUUGGGAUAACUUCAGGAAACUGGGGCUAAUACCGGAUAGGAGCUCCUGCUGCAUGGUGGGGGUUGGAAAGUUUCGGCGGUUGGGGAUAGACUCGCGGCUUAUCAGCUUGUUGGUGGGGUAGUGGCUUACCAAGGCUUUGACGGGUAGCCGGCCUGAGAGGGUGACCGGCCACAUUGGGACUGAGAUACGGCCCAG